AUUGCAAAGUUGGCAGUGCUUUUUCUCCUUUGUACAUCUGAAGACUGCUCGGCAGUGUAACCAGGAAGCAAAGCCUGGCACAGCUGUUCAUUCUGUCUCAUCAUCUUUUCUAUGCAGUACUUUCCCCUUAGAAUUUCAUCUCAAGUAUAAAGUAAUUAAGUGAGAAGAUUGAUGUUGAAAGGGACUUUGGAGGGCAUUUUAAUAUCUACCUUUUGAAAUGAAAAACAAAACGAGAUUCUAUAAUAAUUCAAUGCCAAUUGAAUGCAAUACACUCUUUCAGAUGUUGCAAAGAAAGUCUCAGUUUAGAUGGCAACAGCACUGAGAAAACUUGCCUUGUCCUCUCUUCCCUCCAUCUGCUCGUCUCAAUCCAGCAUACAUGUGCCAGAGCCGCAAGUUGCCUGAUGACUUGGCAAGACUUAUGAAAGAAGAACCAUUUCUAUCUUAUGGGUAUUGUGGAAUAAGUGGUUAAAUUAAGUAUUUAAGAAAUAUAGAAAAAAUAUUCUUUCAUUAAAAAGAGAUUGGCUAAUAUUUGUGGUAGGCAGUCGCUAAGAUGGCUCCCAAUAAUCCCCUUCUCAUGAUAUUCACAUCCUUGUAGCAAUCCCCUUUUCUUCAGUAUGGGAAGAACUUAGCGAUUAACUUCUAACUAGUAUAACAUACUAACAUGAUGAGGUGUGACUUCUAUGAUUAGGUUUUCAAAAAACUGUGACUUCUGUCUUUCUGGCUGCUCUCACUCUCUUGCUUGCUUUGGUGGAAGCCAGCUAUCUUAAAGUGUACUUCUCCAUAGGAAGGUCCACGUAACAAGGAACUGAUGCCUGUAACCAACAAGGAACUGAAUGAAGGCCUCAGCCAAACAGAUGAGAAUUCCAUCAACAAUGACAUGGGGGAUGCGUCCAAAUACAACAGCACCCUUUAUCUCCAGGGCCUACGUUCCAGCACCUCCAGUGAAAGCCUGAAACCAGUUCCGAACCUGACUGGCAUCAUUUCAAACACGUUUCUCUUCAUCUCUCCCAUACAGAAAUUUAAUGCCUUUUCCAUCUUAACUACGGCUUAUCAUGUACUGUGGCUGUAACUUGUGCAGUUUGAAGGGCCACAGCAAAACUAGCAGGAAUUUUUUUUCUUCUUUCAUGGAACAAAGGUUUUUUCUUACCAUAGAUCUUAGCAAAC